AUCCUUUUGUGUAUCAUAAGCACAAUGAUUGGUUUUUCACACUAAUGUGUGAAAUGUGCCUCCUUCAAGCCUUAUUACAGCAUUGGCAUAUUACCCGUUGAAG